rnacentral:misc_RNA from 1 species
GAUGAAGAACGCAGCGAAAUGCGAUAAGUAAUGUGAAUUGCAGAAUUCAGUGAAUCAUCGAAUCUUUGAACGCACAUUGCGCCCAUUAGUAUUCUAGUGGGCAUGCCUGUUCGAGCGUCAUUAAUUCCACUUAAGCCCUGCUUAGUGUUGGGAAUCUACUCUAGUGGUGCUACCCUGGAGCUACCCCUGAAAGGGGGCUGGCCCGGUAGCUACCCUGUAGUUCCUCAAAGAUAGUGCGCGGAGUUGCGUGGUCCUCUGAGCUUAGUAACUAUACACCUAGCUUUUGAGUGUCCCGCGGCGCCUGCCGUUUAAACCCCAUCUUUUAAUGGUUGACCUCGGAUCAGGUAGGAAUACCCGCUGAACUUAAGCAUACAAUAAGCGGAGGA